rnacentral:snRNA from 1 species
GUCUAUGUGAUCUAGGAGCU